GGGGUUGUUUUUUUCCCCUGCAACAAGUAAAAAUGGCGACAUCCUCAGGAGCUGACAUAAUAGGGAAGACGCGAACAAAGAGAAGUAUGCGGAAGAAUGCAAGGUAAGAUACCAUUUUGUUGGUCCUUUUAAUUCCUAGAUCCAAAGACAUUAGAAUAGUACAUUUUCUUCAUCCAAACUAAUGAACAUC
rnacentral:lncRNA from 1 species